rnacentral:rRNA from 1 species
AGUGAACGCUGGCGGUAGGCCUAACACAUGCAAGUCGAACGGCAGCACAGUAAGAGCUUGCUCUUACGGGUGGCGAGUGGCGGACGGGUGAGGAAUACAUCGGAAUCUACUUUUUCGUGGGGGAUAACGUAGGGAAACUUACGCUAAUACCGCAUACGACCUACGGGUGAAAGCAGGGGAUCUUCGGACCUUGCGCGAUUGAAUGAGCCGAUGUCGGAUUAGCCAGUUGGCGGGGUAAAGGCCCACCAAGGCGACGAUCCGUAGCUGGUCUGAGAGGAUGAUCAGCCACACUGGAACUGAGACACGGCCCAGACUCCUACGGGAGGCAGCAGUGGGGAAUAUUGGACAAUGGGCGCAAGCCUGAUCCAGCCAUACCGCGUGGGUGAAGAAGGCCUUCGGGUUGUAAAGCCCUUUUGUUGGGAAAGAAAAGCAGCAGGUUAAUACCCCGCUGUUCUGACGGUACCCAAAGAAUAAGCACCGGCUAACUUCGUG